rnacentral:rRNA from 1 species
GACGAACGCUGGCGGCGUGCUUAACACAUGCAAGUCGAACGGAAAGGCCCUGCUUUUGUGGGGUGCUCGAGUGGCGAACGGGUGAGUAACACGUGAGUAACCUGCCCUUGACUUUGGGAUAACUUCAGGAAACUGGGGCUAAUACCGGAUAGGAGCUCCUGCUGCAUGGUGGGGGUUGGAAAGUUUCGGCGGUUGGGGAUGGACUCGCGGCUUAUCAGCUUGUUGGUGGGGUAGUGGCUUACCAAGGCUUUGACGGGUAGCCGGCCUGAGAGGGUGACCGGCCACAUUGGGACUGAGGGACGGCGCAGACUCCAACGGGAGGCAGCAGUGGGGAAUCUUGCACAAUGGGCGGAAGCCUGAUGAAGCAGCGCCGCGUGCGGGAUGUCGGCCUUCGGGUUGUAAACCGCUUUCGCCUGUGACGCAGCGUGAGUGACGGUAAUGGAUAAAGAAGCACCGGCUAACUACGUG